rnacentral:rRNA from 1 species
CCCUUAGAUGUCCUGGGCCGCACGCGCGUUACACUGAUGCAUUCAACGAGCUUAUAACCUUGGCCGAGAGGCCUGGGCAAUCUUGUUAACGUGCAUCGUGAUAGGGAUAGAUUAUUGAAAUUAUUAAUCUUGAACGAGGAAUUCCUAGUAAACGCAGAUCAUCAAUCUGCAUUGAUUACGUCCCUGCCCUUUGUACACACCGCCCGUCGCACCUACCGAUUGGAUGGUCCGGUGAAGCCUCGGGAUUGUGGUUCUUGCCGCUUUAUUGUAGCGUGACCGCGAGAACUUGUCUAAACCUUAUCGUCUAGAGGAAGGUGAAGUCGUAACA